GCCCCUACCAUGCUCGUACCACAUGGCCGCCGCACUCCCAUCCACACGGGCGCGCUAGGUGGGUUGGGGGCAAAUGCGUCACCGCCGUUAGGGCUGCCCCGAGCCGCCGCUCGCCUCGCUGGCCCCUCCCCCAACCGCAUCCAUCUCCAGCCCGCCGCCCACUCACGCUCGCCCUCACCCUCACCCACUCGGCCCCACCGUCUUUCCCAUCAUCUGCGUCGGCCUCUCUUUACCCCCGCCCCCGCUGCAGCGACUCGUGCUGGCGGCGGCCGAAGGCACCGCCACACCCGUAGCAGGCAGGGCCCACCGCCCCUCCUCGCGCAUGCCAGCCAAGGUGCGACGGUGGCGGCCGCGUCGUCUCCCUCCCUCCCUCCACCCACUGCAGGAAUGGGCACAUGGGUGCCGCCGCCGACCAGGACGCCACCCUAUCCGGCAGUAACAGUGAAUUCCAGGUGCUUGCUGGACGGGCCAGCGAUUUUCAGUUCAGCCGAACGUUGCUUGCUGGACGGGCCAGCAGGAGCGUGAGAUUUGCACAUCAGAGUUGCUGGUUGAUGGAGGGUAGGAUUGGCCGACCAGCGACAAGGUUGACAACUUGAUGUCGACGGCAGCACAACUGGUGAUCGCACUUGCUUGCUUGCUGGAUGCAAGCACGAGCGGGAGGGUGGUGGAUUUCCACGACUGGAGGGCCAAACAACAUGAUUGGACGACUGACAUGCUCGGGUGGAACAUGUGCUUGUAGUUGUACAGCUGCACGGAAUAGCUACUCCCUUUAUUCUAAACUAUUAGUUAUUUUGGCUUCUAUAGAUGUAUAAUUUUUGCUAUGUAUCUAGAUAUCUAGAUGUAUAGUAAAACCAAUGUAUCUAAGAAAGCUAAAACGACUAGUAAUUUGGGAUGGAUGGAAUAUUAUCCAAUUGCUUCCAUUUUUCAAA